ACAACGAAUCAUCCAUGAGUUUCUUUCACGGCACGGGCUAUCCCGAUCCCAGCCUCCAGGAGGCGACCGAUCCCGGCGAGGCGGCGACGCUCAAUCCGGUGAUGCGCCGGCCGCCGGCCGAUGCCGACAAGGAUUUGCCCCCUUCUCCCGGCCCAGGUAUCUCUCUUGCGCCAAAUAGGGUUGGGCGCCGCCACCGUUUUCCUGGUUGACGAUCAACCAUGGCUAGGGUUUCGGGCACCUCCACUCUGGCAUGGUUCCGGCACCUCCAGCGACUCCUCUCUGACGCCCACCGCGCACCCACACGCACUUCCGUCUCCGGGAUGCUGCUCCUCCGCUUGGUGGCCAUGGGGCAAGGAUUGGAUACUUGAGGAAGGAGGGGUCGACCUUGCCUUGCUGCAGCUCGGGACGCACCACCCAUGGAGCUUCCUCCUUUCUGUCUUCAGCAAGGUUAACCACGAUCACACGAAGCCGAAGGUGCACGAUGAAAAAACCGUACGUGCAUGCUCUAUCCAUCCAGAAUUGAUCCAUCAGGCUGCUUCCAAAGCUAGCUUGAUCAUGCACUUGUGCCUCUCGGCAGACUUCUACUGACGUAUGUGAUACACAGUCCAGGCAAAAUCACAUCAUACACACAUUUUAGGCGUGGGAGGUGAGUCAGGUGUGAAAUGCAUCUCAGGAAGCGACUUGAGCCCUGUUUCAAAUGGGGGGAAACAAAUAAAUGAUAAAAUAAAAUUGGAAGAAGUACUCGCGCACGUAUUCCAGAUCUACGACAAGAAUGGGGAGAUGGCCGGAAGUACACUUGGGCUCAAUCGUUGACAUGUGCAGAAGGGCAGCGGCCUUGUGAACCGAACGUGAGGAUAACGCAAAUCGAGGAGGUCAGGGACCGGCUAGAGACCUCAUCGAGCACCGCCAUCACCGGUAGUGACAACACAGUCGCUGUGUUUGGUCUAUCCCGAGCCUCUUUUUUGUGGUUCGUGUUCUUUUGAUAUCCUCUUGCCAUGAUAUUCUAGCUGGACUUCUGCAGCCAGGCCAACAACAGAGCAAGGCUUAGCCCUGAUGAUGACUUGACAAAUAUGGUCAAAAUGCUGGAGAUGAGGAAUGUAACGAAACUGAAGAAACAUGGGGUACUCUUAGCUUUAGUUCCUUAUCAUUUUUUAUGUGCAUUGCUAUGUAUCUGUAUAAACUUGCUUCGGCCAUUGUUGUCAAUUGGCCGGCACAAGGAUUGCAUAUUUCUAGCCAUCUAGAAUAAGCGGACGAGAUGAUGUGCAUUCAUUUGGUGGCACAAAAUCAAUUUCCUUUUCCAACUAAUAGUACAUACAUUAAUAAAAUUACUGUGGUUGGCAGCUCUUCACUGCAUGUUUUGAAAUGUUUCGUGCGCUUGUCCCAUUUAAUCACUCACAACGUUGCUACAGCAUGCUAAGUAAGCAUCCAAUUAUUCUAUUUUUUGUAACAAAAUUUUCUCUUGAUCAUCUCAUGGAAAAUGAAUCUUCUUCAAACAAGACGUGUUUUUAAUGGCAGUGCCCAAAUAUUACUUUAUAGAUACUAUUCUGAGUUCCGUUAUGUGCAGGCUUAUGCCAGUGUCUAGCUCUUACAGCACCAAAGAUAAAUAAACUCACCAGAGCGAAGUGUUUUGAAAGUGGAAGGUAUAUAAAGGUAGUUCAUCUACAUAAGUUGUUUUUCACUUGGCUCCAUGCAGCAUAAUUGAGGAUAUGCCUAACUACUGCUACCCUGCUUCUAUUUCUGUAUUUAUCUGAUGUUCUUUGUAUAGAUAUGUAUGUACUACCUCCGUCUGGAAUUAGUUGUUGCUGAAGUAGAUGGAUAUAGACGUAUUUCGGUGCUAGAUACAUCCGUUUGAGCGACAAGUAAUUCCGGACGGAGAGAGUAUCUUUUAACAUAAUCUGCUCCAAAAUCAGAAGAAGUUAUCCCAGCUUUCCAUCACACCGAAUUACUGCAUCAAGGGGUCUGAUAGUAUGAUAAUAUCCUAUGUCUGAACAAAGUUUAUAUUCUCACACUCUCAUUUUGUCAUAAGAUGUGAAUUUUUCUCUCCUGUUGCAACACUAGGUCAUUUGCUCCAUGUGAUAUUGAGGUCUAUGGUACAAGGCUCAUAGCUUGUGAAUGUUGUUGAAAGAUAUAAUUUAGUUUUUUAUUGGUUUAUGCAAAUUCAUGUCAAACCUUAUGCCAAUAGUUGAUGCUUCCUGACUAUUUGCACCAAUGCCCUUCUAUCCAUAGCUGAAUCUGGAGGAUACAUGAAGCGAGAGUAAUGUUAACCGACAUUGAUGCAUAAAGUUACCUGAUCAAAACAUAGAGAGUUGUGUAAGCCUUUACCGCAUUCAUGCAUUUCCAUGCUGAAUCCAGCCUCUUCAAUUGGUUUCCGCACGUGUACAUAGAACUAGCGAGUAUCCACACAUGCAUGUCUCAUCUGAAUCCGGCGUCAUUAAUUGGUCUCCUAGCCAAAUUUAGAUUUGUUCUAAGACAUAGGUUGCUAAGUUGUUGGUGAGAGAUAUAGUACUUUUCAUUUUUAAAUUAGAUGCAUUUUCUAGAGACGUAGAACUGUUGAAAUUUUAAUUACAUGCAUUUUUUCUAUUGUAAUUUCCAAUUUCGUUUAUCUAGUAUUUUAACUUUGUGUCAGAUCACCUUUUAUUCCUUUUAGGUAGUUAGAAGUUGGUCGCAUACAUUGUAAUUCUUUUCCUUUCAGAAACCACCGCAAGGAUGAUGUUAUUUUACAUGUUGAAUAUGAACUAUGCAUUAGAAAUUGACACAUAUAUUUGGAUGGCCAUGUAUUUAUUUGGUUCAUCGAAGCAAUGUAGAACUCCUUGGUCAAUUACAAUUUGACUGGGAAUUUCGUUCUACAAUAUUUUGAAAUAGGUUUUCAAUUAGAAUCAAUUUUGUGUGAAUUAUACUAUGACAAAGGCAUUUAAAACUUCGUACCAAUUGAAUUGCUGGAGACUUGCAGGGGAAGCACUAGGAAAAUAUUAGAAGCAUUGCACAACAUGUCUAUGUUUGAAGCAACAAAUUGCUAAAUAGUUUUGUGCUCAUAAUGAUAUAUUUUCUUAUAGGAUGGUGGCCACUAAGAAAAUAAUUAUUAGUGCACAUGCUUAAUUACAACCAGAGUGAAGCUCGAGUUAACAUUUUCCUGAAUUUGUACUACUUAGAAAUGUUUAGGUGUAUCAGGAAGUAGAUUUCCUAAAUUAUAACUUAAUUUUAAGUAUAAAUUCAUUGAUUACUACUAUCAAACUAUCUUUUUUUCUGUAUAAGUGAAGUUUCACGGCCUCUACUUUUUGGUUAUUUUUUCCGUUGUUGAUGAAGGCACCCAGUUGUUCAUAUUCUGUGUACGAACCAGUUUUCUAUUGUCUUCCUCUCAUUAUGUUCGAAACGUCUUUCCUUGAUAAUUGGUUAUUGUCGAUAUUCACCCAUUUUGAUCAUUGCUAUCUCCACGUGGCAUUACACAACACUUCUUAUACCCUAAUGGCAUUUGUCGGGGCCUAAUUCGGAUCCACGGUCUCAUCCCAUGAAA